rnacentral:ncRNA from 1 species
UUGAGCCGUAUGCGGGGAAACUGCGCGUACGGUCUUAGGGAGGAGCGACCCGGCGAGGGGUCGUUCCUAACCCGAC